UUAAGCAUAUCAAUAAGCGGAGGAAAAGAAACCAACAGGGAUUGCCCUAGUAACGGCGAGUGAAGCGGCAACAGCUCAAAUUUGAAAUCUGGCCCUUGGGUCCGAAUUGUAAUUUGUAGAGGAUGAUUUUGGUGCGGUAUCUUCCGAGUUCCUUGGAACAGGACGCCUUAGAGGGUGAGAGCCCCGUACGGUUGAAUGCCUAGCCUCUGUAAAUCUCCUUCGACGAGUCGAGUAGUUUGGGAAUGCUGCUCUAAAUGGGAGGUAAAUUUCUUCUAAAGCUAAAUACUGGCCAGAGACCGAUAGCGCACAAGUAGAGUGAUCGAAAGAUGAAAAGCACUUUGAAAAGAGGGUUAAAUAGCACGUGAAAUUGUUGAAAGGGAAGGAUUUAUGACCAGACUUUUUCUGGGCGGAUCAUCCGGUGUUCUCACCGGUGCACUUUGCCCAGUUUAGGCCAGCAUCGAUUUUCGGAGGGGGAUAAAAGCUUUGGGAAUGUGGCUCCUCCGGGAGUGUUAUAGCCCAUUGUAUAAUACCUUUCUGGGGAUCGAGGUACGCGCUUCUGCAAGGAUGCUGGCGUAAUGGUUAUCAAUCACCCGUCUUGAAACACGGACCAAGGAGUCGAACAUUUGUGCAAGUGUUUGGGUGUUAAACCCUCACGCGUAAUGAAAGUGAACGGAGGUGAGAGCCCUUACGGGUGCAUCAUCGACCGAUCCUGAAGUUUUCGGAUGGAUUUGAGUAAGAGCAUAACUGUUCGGACCCGAAAGAUGGUGAACUAUGCGUGGAUAGGGUGAAGCCAGAGGAAACUCUGGUGGAGGCUCGCAGCGGUUCUGACGUGCAAAUCGAUCGUCAAAUCUGCGCAUGGGGGCGAAAGACUAAUCGAACCAUCUAGU
rnacentral:rRNA from 1 species